rnacentral:rRNA from 1 species
UUAAGCCCCAGUAAACGGCGGUGGUAACUAUAACCAUCCUAAGGUAGCGAAAUUCCUUGUCGGGUAAGUUCCGACCUGCACGAAUGGCGUAACGACUUCCCAACUGUCUCAACCGCGAACUCGGCGAAAUUGCACUACGAGUAAAGAUGCUCGUUACGCGCAGCAGGACGGAAAGACCCCGUGACCUUUACUACAGCUUGGUAUUGGUGUUCGGUGUGGCUUGUGUAGGAUAGGUGGGAGACUUUGAAGCAGGGACGCCAGUUCUUGUGGAGUCGUUGUUGAAAUACCACUCUGGUCACUCUGGAUGUCUAACUUAGAACCGUAAUCCGGUUCAGGGACAGUGCCUGGUGGGUAGUUUAACUGGGGCGGUUGCCUCCCAAAAAGUAACGGAGGCGCCCAAAGGUUCCCUCAACCUGGUUGGCAAUCAGGUGGCGAGUGUAAGUGCACAAGGGAGCUUGACUGUGAGACUGACAGGUCGAGCAGGGACGAAAGUCGGGACUAGUGAUCCGGCAGUGGCUUGUGGAAGCGCUGUCGCUCAACGGAUAAAAGGUACCUCGGGGAUAACAGGCUGAUCUUGCCCAAGAGUCCAUAUCGACGGCAUUGUUUGGCACCUCGAUGUCGGCUCGUCGCAUCCUGGGGCUGGAGUAGGUCCCAAGGGUUGGGCUGUUCGCCCAUUAAAGCGGUACGCGAGCUGGGUUUAGAACGUCGUGAGACAGUUCGGUCCCUAUCCGCUGCGCGCGUAGGAAGUUUGAGAGGAUCUGACCCUAGUACGAGAGGACCGGGUUGGACGAACCUCUGGUGUGUCAGUUGUUCCGCCAGGAGCACCGCUGAUUAGCUACGUUCGGGAUGGAUAACCGCUGAAAGCAUCUAAGCGGGAAGCCGGCCUCAAGAUGAGACUUCCAUGCCUACGGGCGAGAGGCUCCCAGCAGACUACUGGGUUGAUAGGCCAGAUGUGGAAGCGUGGUAACACGUGCAGCUGACUGGUACUAAUAAGCCGAUGACUUGAUAACACACC